ACUCCUACGGGGGGCAGCAGUGGGGAAUAUUGCACAAUGGGGGAAACCCUGAUGCAGCGACGCCGCGUGAAGGAAGAAGUAUCUCGGUGUGUAAACUUCUAUCAGCAGGGAAGAAAACAGACGGUACCUGACUAAGAAGCCCCGGCUAACUACGUGCCAGCAGCCGCGGUAAUACGUAGGGGGCAAGCGUUAUCCGGAUUUACUGGGUGUAAAGGGAGCGCAGACGGCAGUGCAAGUCUGGAGUGAAAGCCCGGGGCCCAACCCCGGAACUGCUCUGGAAACUGUGCGGCUAGAGUACUGGAGGG
rnacentral:rRNA from 1 species